GAUGAACGCUAGCGGCAUGCCUAACACAUGCAAGUCGAGGGGUAGAAGGAGCUUGCUUCUUUGAGACCGGCGCACGGGUGCGUAACGCGUAUGCAAUCUCCCUUGUGCAGGGGAAUAGCCCACAGAAAUUUUGCUUAAUCCCCCAUAGUAUAUAACCUUCGCAUGUUGGUUCUAUUAACGUUCUUACGGUACACGAUGAGCAUGCGUCCCAUUAGUUAGUUGGUAAGGUAACGGCUUACCAAGACGAUGAUGGGCAGUGGACCUGAGAGGUAGAUACACCACACUGGUACCGAGACACAGACCAGACGCCGACGGGAGGGAGGAGUGAGUAAGAUUGGGCAAGGGUGGCUAGACUGAACCAGCCACGCCGCGUGCAGGAAGACGGGCGUAGGGAUUGGAAACUGGUUGGAUACAAGAAGAAACCCUCCCACGUGUGGGAGCUUGACGGUACUGGAGGAAUAAGGAUCGGCUAACUCCGUG
rnacentral:rRNA from 1 species